rnacentral:rRNA from 1 species
ACGAGUGCCUCAAGCGUUAUCCGGAAUCAUUGGGCGUAAAGGGUGUGUAGGCGGCAAUAUUAGUCUCGCGUUAAAUCUACUGGCUCAACCGGUAGGCUGCGUGAGAAACGGUAUUGCUUGAGGGUGGGAGAGGUCUCUGGAACUCAUAGUGUAGCGGUGAAAUGCGUUGAUAUUAUGGGGAACACCAAAAGCGAAGGCAAGAGACUGGCCCGCUCCUGACGCUGAAACACGAAAGCGUGGGUCGCGAAUGGGA